GCAAGUCUGGUGCCAGCAGCCGCGGUAAUUCCAGCUCCAAUAGCGUAUAUUAAAGUUGUUGCAGUUAAAAAGCUCGUAGUUGAACUUUGGGCCUGGGCGGACGGUCUACCUAUGGUAAGCACUGUUGCCGCCGGGUCUUUCCUUCUGGCUAGCCCUCGGGCGAACCAGGACGAGUACUUUGAAGAAAUUCUAGUGUUCAAAGCAAGCCUUUGUUCGGAUAUCUUAGCAUGGAAUAAUAAAAUAAGACUCAAGGUUCUAUUUUGUUGGUUUCUAGGACCAUCGUAAUGAUUAAUGAGGACGGUCGGGGGCAUCAGGGUUCAGUCGUCGCAGGUGAAAUUCUUGGAUUGACUGAAAACUAACUACUGCGAAAACAAUUGCCAA
rnacentral:rRNA from 1 species